rnacentral:rRNA from 2 species
AAGCGAGUGUCGAACUGUUGAGUAACACGUGGGGAAUCUGCCCAGAAGCAGGGGAUAACACUUGGAAACAGGUGCUAAUACCGUAUAACAACAAAAUCCGCAUGGAUUUUGUUUGAAAGGUGGCUUCGGCUAUCACUUCUGGAUGAUCCCGCGGCGUAUUAGUUAGUUGGUGAGGUAAAGGCCCACCAAGACGAUGAUACGUAGCCGACCUGAGAGGGUAAUCGGCCACAUUGGGACUGAGACACGGCCCAAACUCCUACGGGAGGCAGCAGUAGGGAAUCUUCCACAAUGGACGAAAGUCUGAUGGAGCAAUGCCGCGUGAGUGAAGAAGGGUUUCGGCUCGUAAAACUCUGUUGUUAAAGAAGAACACCUUUGAGAGUAACUGUUCAAGGGUUGACGGUAUUUAACCAGAAAGCCACGGCUAACUACGUGCCAGCAGCCGCGGUAAUACGUAGGUGGCAAGCGUUGUCCGGAUUUAUUGGGCGUAAAGCGAGCGCAGGCGGUUUUUUAAGUCUGAUGUGAAAGCCUUCGGCUUAACCGGAGAAGUGCAUCGGAAACUGAGAGACUUGAGUGCAGAAGAGGACAGUGGAACUCCAUGUGUAGCGGUGGAAUGCGUAGAUAUAUGGAAGAACACCAGUGGCGAAGGCGGCUGUCUAGUCUGUAACUGACGCUGAGGCUCGAAAGCAUGGGUAGCGAACAGGAUUAGAUACCCUGGUAGUCCAUGCCGUAAACGAUGAGUGCUAAGUGUUGGAGGGUUUCCGCCCUUCAGUGCUGCAGCUAACGCAUUAAGCACUCCGCCUGGGGAGUACGACCGCAAGGUUGAAACUCAAAGGAAUUGACGGGGGCCCGCACAAGCGGUGGAACAUGUGGUUUAAUUCGAAGCUACGCGAAGAACCUUACCAGGUCUUGACAUCUUCUGCCAAUCUUAAAGAUAAGACGUUCCCUUCGGGGACAGAAUGACAGGUGGUGCAUGGUUGUCUUCACCUCCUGUCCUGAAAUGUUGGGUUAAGUCCCG